rnacentral:rRNA from 1 species
GAUGAACGCUGGCGGCGUGCCUAAUACAUGCAAGUCGAGCGAACGGACGAGAAGCUUGCUUCUCUGAUGUUAGCGGCGGACGGGUGAGUAAAACGUGGAUAACCUACCUAUAAGACUGGGAUAACUUCGGGAAACCGGAUCUAAUAUCGGAUAAUAUUUUGAACCGCAUGGUUCUACAGUGAAAGACGGUCUUGAUGUCCCUUAUAGAUGGAUCCGCGCUGCAUUAGCUAGUUGGUAAGGUAACGGCUUACCAAGGCAACGAUGCAUAGCCGACCUGAGAGGGUGAUCGGCCACACUGGAACUGAGACACGGUCCAGACUCCUACGGGAGGCAGCAGUAGGGAAUCUUCCGCAAUGGGCGAAAGCCUGACGGAGCAACGCCGCGUGAGUGAUGAAGGUCUUCGGAUCGUAAAACUCUGUUAUUAGGGAAGAACAUAUGUGUAAGUAACUGUGCACAUCUUGACGUUACCUAAUCAGAAAGCCACGGCUAACUACGUG